AACGAACGCUGGCGGCAUGCCUAACACAUGCAAGUCGAACGAGACCUUCGGGUCUAGUGGCGCACGGGUGCGUAACGCGUGGGAACCUGCCCUUAGGUUCGGAAUAACUCCCCGAAAGGGGUGCUAAUACCGGAUAAUGUUUUCGGACCAAAGAUUUAUCGCCUUUGGAUGGGCCCGCGUUGGGUUAGCUAGUUGGUAGGGUAAAAGCCUACCAAGGCGACGAUCCAUAGCUGGUCUGAGAGGAUGAUCAGCCACACUGGGACUGAGACACGGCCCAGACUCCUACGGGAGGCAGCAGUGGGGAAUAUUGGACAAGGGGCGAAAGCCUGAUCCAGCAAGGCCGCGUGAGUGAUGAAGGCCUUAGGGUUGUAAAGCUCUUUUACCCGGGAUGAUAAUGACAGUACCGGGAGAAUAAGCUCCGGCAAACUCCUU
rnacentral:rRNA from 1 species